CAUAACCCCACUUAAUUUUAUCAAGGAUCUACUGAAAAGUACUUUAUGAGGUGAGUGGUUGUCUCAUAUUGAUAACAGUACAUGAUAAUCAAGUGAAGCAUACAAGAUAUGGUUCCUUAAAAUCUUGAUACACCUUUGGAGAUGCCAACAACUUUUCUUUGGUUAUUGCCACAGAAAAUGCACUUUUAUUUGUAUUAUUGUACAGCAUAAAUAUGUAUCCUGUAGAAAAGGAUUAACAAUGUCUUCAGUGACAUUUUUUUCAGUACAACAAAAUGAAGACCAGAGGAACAUAGUAAAAACAAAAUAAGGGAAAACAAGAGCAAAAAAAAAAAAAAAGAAGGGAGUUUUGGUGGUGGGGGUGGGGGGGGGGGUAAGUAAAUUCAACGAUAACAAAAAGCACAUGUAACAAAUUAGGAUCUCACCCAAAAAGGCUAGCCAGAAGGUAUUAUUUGAAUUCCUUGAUCCUAUAUAAAUACCCAAGAUCUACCCAGCAAAUAACCGAUAUGGGACUAAAUACACGCCCACAUGGAUUAUCAGAGCAC
rnacentral:lncRNA from 1 species